rnacentral:tRNA from 1 species
ACCUGGGUGGCUCAGUCGGUUGAGCAUCUGACUUUGGCUCAGGUCAUGAUCUCACAGUUUGUGGGUUCAAGCCCCACAUCAGGCU